rnacentral:rRNA from 1 species
AGAGUUUGAUCCUGGCUCAAGACGAACGCUGGCGGCGUGCUUAACACAUGCAAGUCGAACGAUGAAGGGGAGCUUGCUCCCUGGAUUAGUGGCGAACGGGUGAGUAACACGUGAGCAACCUGCCCCUAACUCUGGUAUAACGCUUCGAAAGGAGUGCUAAUACCGGAUAUGAGCCUGGAAGACAUCUUCUGGGUUGGAAAGUUUUUCGGUUAGGGAUGGGCUCGCGGCCUAUCAGCUUGUUGGUGAGGUAAAGGCUCACCAAGGCGACGACGGGUAUCCGGCCUGAGAGGGCGACCGGACACACUGGGACUGAGACACGGCCCAGACUCCUACGGGAGGCAGCAGUGGGGAAUAUUGCGCAAUGGGCGAAAGCCUGACGCAGCGACGCCGCGUGAGGGAUGAAGGUCUUCGGAUUGUAAACCUCUUUCAGCAGGGACGAAGCGAAAGUGACGGUACCUGAAGAAGAAGCACCGGCUAACUACGUGCCAGCAGCCGCGGUAAUACGUAGGGUGCAAGCGUUGUCCGGAUUUAUUGGGCGUAAAGAGCUCGUAGGCGGUUAGACACGUCGGAUGUGAAACUGGGGGCUCAACCCCCAGCCUGCAUUCGAUACGGUCUGACUAGAGUGUGGUAGGGGUAACUGGAAUUCCUGGUGUAGCGGUGAAAUGCGCAGAUAUCAGGAGAACACCGAUGGCGAAGGCAGGUUACUGGGCCACCACUGACGCUGAGGAGCGAAAGCGUGGGGAGCAAACAGGAUUAGAUACCCUGGUAGUCCACGCCGUAAACGGUGGGCGCUAGAUGUGGGGACCAUUCCAUGGUUUCUGCGUCGCAGCUAACGCAUUAAGCGCCCCGCCUGGGGAGUACGGUCGCAAGACUAAAACUCAAAGGAAUUGACGGGGGCCCGCACAAGCAGCGGAGCAUGCGGCUUAAUUCGAUGCAACGCGAAGAACCUUACCUAGGCUUGACAUAUAGAGAAAUCCCACAGAGAUGUGGAGUCCGUAAGGGCUCUAUACAGGUGGUGCAUGGUUGUCGUCAGCUCGUGUCGUGAGAUGUUGGGUUAAGUCCCGCAACGAGCGCAACCCUCGUUCUAUGUUGCCAGCGCGUAGUGGCGGGGACUCAUAGGAGACUGCCGGGGUCAACUCGGAGGAAGGUGGGGAUGACGUCAAAUCAUCAUGCCCCUUAUGCCUAGGGCUGCACGCAUGCUACAAUGGCCGAUACAAAGGGCUGCGAUACCGCAAGGUGGAGCGAAUCCCAUAAAGUCGGUCUCAGUUCGGACUGGGGUCUGCAACUCGACCCCAUGAAGUUGGAGUUGCUAGUAAUCGCAGAUCAGCAACGCUGCGGUGAAUACGUUCCCGGGCCUUGUACACACCGCCCGUCACGUCACGAAAGUCGGUAACACCCGAAGCCGGUGGCCUAACCGUAAGGAAGGAGCCGUCGAAGGUGGGAUCGGUGAUUGGGACGAAGUCGUAACAAGGUAGCC